CACAGACAACCAGGAUAUUGGCUUAGAAGCAGCCACUCAUUCAAAGAGUGCGUAAUAGCUCACUGGUCGAGUGAUCCUGCGCCGAAGAUUUCCGGGGCUAAAACUUACUACCGAAGCUACGGCAUCAGUAAUGAUGGGUAGGGGAGCUUCCCAUACGGGUUGAAGCAUGACCGUAAGGACAUGUGGACAGUAUGGGAGUGAGAAUGUUGGCAUGAGUAGCGAGAUGUGGGUGAGAAUCCCACAGGCCGUAAACCCAAGGUUUCCAGGGGAAGGUUCGUCCGCCCUGGGUUAGUCGGGACCUAAGCUGAGGCCGAAAGGCGUAGGUGAUGGACAACAGGUUGAUAUUCCUGUACUACCGAUAACUGUUUGAGAGAAGGGAUGACACAGUAGGAUAAGCUAAGCACACUGUUGGUUAUGUGUGCCCAAGCAUUGAGGCAGUCAAAGUAGGCAAAUCCGCUUUGAUAAUGCUGGGAUGUGAUGGGGAGCGAAAUUUAGUAGCGAAGUAGCUGAUUUCACACUGUCAAGAAAAGUCUCUAUCGAGGUUAAAGGUACCCGUACCGCAAACCGACACAGGUGGGUGAGGAGAGUAUCCUAAGGCCAGCGAGAGAACUGUUGUUAAGGAACUCGGCAAAAUGACCCCGUAACUUAGGGAUAAGGGGUGCCACCAUCCGGUGGCCGCAGAGAAUAGGCUCAAGCGACUGUUUACCAAAAACAUAGGUUUCUGCUAAGUCGCAAGACGAUGUAUAGGAGCUGACGCCUGCCCGGUGCUGGAAGGUUAAGGGGAUCUGUUAGAGCAAUCGAAGCAGUGAACUUAAGCCCCAGUAAACGGCGGCCGUAACUAUAACGGUCCUAAGGUAGCGAAAUUCCUUGUCGGGUAAGUUCCGACCCGCACGAAAGGCGUAACGAUUUGGGCACUGUCUCA
rnacentral:rRNA from 1 species